GCGUUAAUCGGAAUUACUGGGCGUAAAGCGUGCGCAGGCGGCUCUGCAAGUCAGACGUGAAAUCCCCGGGCUUAACCUGGGAAUGGCGUUUGAAACUACGGAGCUGGAGUGUGGCAGAGGGAGGUAGAAUUCCACGUGUAGCGGUGAAAUGCGUAGAUAUGUGGAGGAAUACCGAUGGCGAAGGCAGCCUCCUGGGCCAACACUGACGCUCAUGCACGAAAGCGUG
rnacentral:rRNA from 1 species